UACGGGGGGUGCAAGCGUUGUUCGGAUUUAUUGGGCGUAAAGCGCUUGUAGGCGGUUUUUUAAGUCUGAUGUGAAAGCCCCGGGCUCAACCUGGGAAGUGCAUUGGAUACUGGGAGACUUGAAUACGGGAGAGGGUAGUGGAAUUCCUAGUGUAGGAGUGAAAUCCGUAGAUAUUAGGAGGAACACCGGUGGCGAAGGCGGCUACCUGGACCGAUAUUGACGCUGAGACGCGAAAGCGUGGGGAGCAAACAGG
rnacentral:rRNA from 1 species